CCCAACCCCACAGCUCCUAAUGCUGUGUUGGUACGAUUGGGUUCAGUGCAGCCUCAGGGUCAGAAGGUCACAGUUAUGGGGUCAGGAUCACAGUUAUGGGGUCAGGGUCAUAAGGUCACAGUUAUGGGGUCAGGGUCACAGUUAUGGGGUCAGGGUCACAGUUAUGGGGUCAGGGUCACAAGAUCACAGUUCUGGGGUCAGGGCUGCUCUCUAAGGACACUCCAUCCCCUCCAUGCACUGAUGCCCCCCCUCACCCCCCCUUCAUCCCCAGCCAUGGGGUGGGGGAGCAGCGCAUCCCAAAGGGGCCACGUAGCAAAUUCCCACCCGCUGCACUUUGCAGUGGGGUGGGGGGGCUCAGGAGGGGAGGGGGGGACGGACGGACGGACAGACGGACAGACGGACUGCCUGAUGGCCACUGAGACACUUUACCUCUUCAGUAUGCAACUGUACAUAGGGUGUAAGAUAGGAAAACCUUUGGGUUUUGUCCAAUAGGAAAAGAAAAACAAAACCCCCCAGCCGAGGCUGCGGGGCUCUGCUGUACGUCAUUAAAAGUUUGGUUUUAUUACUGGGAGG
rnacentral:lncRNA from 1 species